CCGGAACCGGGCGACCGGCUGUCCGUCGCGGCGGUGCUGAUGCCGCCGCCGGCGCCGGCGCUGCCGGGCGGGUUCGACUUCCAGCGCCAGGC
rnacentral:tRNA from 1 species